AAUUUCUACAUGGAGUCUAACCAUGACUUAUGACAUGAAAAAUCAUCGUUGUUAUUCAACUACAGAAAC
rnacentral:tRNA from 3 species